rnacentral:rRNA from 1 species
AUAAUAUUAACGGCGUAAAGCACGACUACAAAACAUGUCUAAAUAUUAAGAACGAAGUCAAACCGGGCUGUAAAAAGCCAUAAGCCACGCUAACCACACCUUAAUUAAAAACAACCUCCACUCGUGAAAGCUAGGAUACAAACUAAGAUUAGAUACCUUACUAUGCCUAACCAUAACAUAACAAUUAAAUUACCCAUUGUUCGCCAAAUAACUACGAGUAAAAACUUAAAAUUUAAAAGACUUGACGGUAUCUCAAAACAACCUAGAGGAGCCUGUCUAAUAACCGAUACUCCACGAUUAACCCAACCCACCCUGGCCUAACAGUCUAUAUACCGCCGUCGCCAGCCUACCUUGUGAAAGAAACAAAGUGAGCCAAAUAGCCAACACACUAAUACGACAGGUCGAGGUGUAACUUAUGGGUGGGUUAAAGAUGGGCUACAUUUUCUUAGUACAGAAAAUACGGAUAAAUCUAUGAAAUAGAAACUGAAGGCGGAUUUAGCAGUACAGUGGGAACAACAUACCCAAUAGAAAUCAAUGCAAUGAGAUGCGUACACACCGCCCGUCAUCCCUGUCAACAUAACUAAAAAUAUACAUAAA